rnacentral:rRNA from 1 species
UACAGAGGGGGCAAGCGUUAUUCGGAAUUAUUGGGCGUAAAGGGCGCGUAGGCGGCCUUGUAAGUCUUGGGUGAAAUCCCUCAGCUCAACUGAGGAACUGCCUCGGAUACUGCAAGGCUUGAGGCCGGGAGAGGGUAGUGGAAUUCCCGGUGUAGUGGUGAAAUGCGUAGAUAUCGGGAGGAACACCAGUGGCGAAGGCGACUACCUGGCCCAUUCUUGACGCUGAGGCGCGAAAGCUAGGGGAGCGAACGGG